AAGGGAGGGACGUGGACGGGUUCUCCCGGCAGCACAGCCAGCCAAGCAGGCGGGCAGCCUCUCAGUGUUCCCGUGGAAAGCAGCAACUCAUCUCUUCCCCCGGCUUCCUGCUGUGAACACAGAACACGGAGAGAUCUUCUUGGACCCGUCCCUGUUUCCAUCCCUGGAGUUGUGAUCUUGAGUGUUUUGGUGAGUGGUGUGUGUGGCCAAAGAAGUGUGUGGCUUUCCCCCUCCUUCCCUGGAUUCCCUGGAGCCCUAUUCCCCUAGCACUUUGUAUAUAGCACUCGGUGAUUGUGUAAAUAAACUGUUUAUUCUCAACAUCA